rnacentral:rRNA from 1 species
CAGCCGCCGCGGGAAUACAGAGGGUGCAAGCGUUAAUCGGAAUUACUGGGCGUAAAGCGCGCGUAGGUGGUUUGUUAAGUUGGAUGUGAAAGCCCCGGGCUCAACCUGGGAACUGCAUCCAAAACUGGCAAGCUAGAGUACGGUAGAGGGUGGUGGAAUUUCCUGUGUAGCGGUGAAAUGCGUAGAUAUAGGAAGGAACACCAGUGGCGAAGGCGACCACCUGGACUGAUACUGACACUGAGGUGCGAAAGCGUGGGGAGCAAACAGGAUUAGAGACCCCUGUAGUCCCUGUCUCUUAUAC